rnacentral:tRNA from 1 species
GCCUGAGUGGCUCAGUCAGUUAAGCAUCUGACUUCAGCUCAGGUCAUGAUCUCACCUUUCAUGAGUUCGAGCCCCAUGUCAGGCU